rnacentral:lncRNA from 1 species
CUAGGAACUAAAAUAGUCCUACUCCCCCCCCCCCCAAUGCCACAUUCCAGAGGAGGCGGCAAACAGAGGGAAGGGGCAGCAGGGAAUUCUGCCACUCUCUUUUGCUCCAAGCACGCACACACAUUCAUACACACAGGGUAGGCAUUUGGACUCUAAUCCCUUCUUAGUGGAAAACACACAUUUUCAAAAUGAAUCCCCGAUCUAGAACGAAUUACCGUAAUAGCCACAGCCGGAGCGAGUCCGCUGAUGAGAAAUGCAGAUCUGGCCACCUGCUUUGAGAGGCCUUGGACCGCGACACUGCCUGAGUCUUUAAAGUCUGGCGUUUUCAGGUAGGGCAUCUGCCCUCCUAAAUCGCGUUUAAAUCCCAGGAAAAGAGAGAAGAUGCCUCCCUUAGUCUUUGAACUAGGCUGCUCGUCCUGUUUACAUUUCUGCUGAACACAGCCUUGUUAUCUUUUCAAAGAGAAAAAAAUAAAAACAAGGGGGAGAAUUGUGCACCACUGCAGAUCCCAAGAGAAGUAAGCACAAAACUAUAGCAACGUCAAAUAUCUUCAGCAACUAGGAAAAUCCCCACUUGCUAUCUGGUGUCAGCUCAAUGCAGACAGGGGCGCUCUGUGCCCGGAACCACAGGAAGCCGGGCAUCUCCGCAGCCUGUGUCCCUGCCAGCUCCCCCCCACGCGCUCAAAUUGGGCAGGGAAGUUAUGGUCUCUGUGUGCAAGACAGAGAGACAGACCACGCACCCACACUCCGCAAAUCUGCCAAGUGGCCGAGACGUCAAAACGGCAGAGCGAUCACAAGGCACUGGCGGAGCGGGGAUGGAGGGGCCACAUUGUUCGAGCCCUCGGAUUUUGCUGCAUUGUCACGGCCCGGGAAUGUAGGGGUAGAAGGAAGCGCACCUCUAGCUAAAAAUGGACCGCGCGCAUUUUUCCCAGUGGCUCCCUCCCCGCCUGCGUGCGGCUCGCAAUACGGGCACCUGGGUGGCUUAGUUGGUUAAGCGACCGCCUUCGGCUCACAUCAUGGUCCUGGAGUCACAGGAUCCAGUCCUGCAUCGGGCUUCCUGUCCCUCGGACUCUGCUUCUCCCUCUGACCCUCCCCACUCUCAUGCUCUCUCCUCCAUUCUCUCUCUCCUCCAUGCUCUCUCUCACAAAUACAUAAAUAAAAUCUUACAAAAAGUCCUUUUCAUAAGUUUAUUAUGAAGAUUGAAUAAACAAAUACACUUGGAA